UGCAAUUUCAAGUAAUAUUUCUACAAAGAU
rnacentral:sRNA from 1 species